UUUUCCUGCUCCUCGGAUGCUGCCUGAACUGCUGUGCUUUUCCAGCACCACUCUAGUCUAGAUUGUAGAAGAAACUGUGCAUCCCAGCUUUCUUGUAUGCACUUGGAAGUAUGUUUCUUUCCUUGACAUUUGAUAAGGUAUCCCACGGGUAGAUACUUCACAAGUGACAUGUUGGGAGGUUUGUCUAGCUAAUUGAAUAGAGUAGGGAUAAGGGCCAUUUUCAGGAUUGGCAGCCACUAACUAGUGGAGUACCAUGUGUUGUGACCUAGGCUUGGGUGAUGAAAGUCAAUGUAUUGUCACUAGGCUUGCAGUUAACAAACAUAGGUGGGAAAGCAAUUGGUGAGGAUGACACAAACCCUGCAGAGGGAUGUAGACUGAGCAAAAACAUUGGGAGAGGUAGUCGACUGGGGUGUCCUUUAUCACCGCUGUCAUUUACCUUGGUGAUAGGUUCAGUUAACGGUUCCAUCAGGAGGGAUCCUGAAAAGUAGCGCCAAGGGUGGGAAUGAGGGACCAUCAGAUCACCUUUUACGCUGACGACGUCCUUUUGUUUCUGGCCAAUCCAGAAAAGUCUGUUCCUUGACUGAAACCAGCAAUUAAUUCAUAGUGGUUUCUUGGGUUAUAGGAUCAAUUUUACAAAAUCAGUAGCCAUGCCGAUAGGGGGAAUUGGUGGAGGUGCCUAAUCUGAAGGAUUGAAUGCAGUUCGUGUUUAAUGGUCAUCAAAAGGUUUUUUUUGUAUUUGGGAAUUUUUAUUACCCCUUCCUUCCACCAGCUGUAUAAAGCUAACUAUGCACAACUACUGGAGAGGAUAAAACAGAAUUUGCUGCGGUGGGAGGGUUACUAUUGUCAUGGUUGGGCCAAAAAGCCCUGAUUAAAAUGAACGUUUAUCCCUGCCUGUUGUACCCCAUGAGAAUGCACCCGUUGUUGUUACCUGGACAAGUGUUAGGGAGGAUCAGUGGUUGGCUAGGAUCCUGUAUUUGGUGCCACAGGCAUCCUCUAAUUAAAUUCACUAAAUUGCAGCUUACAUAGGGUGAGGGGAGGGUGGAUGUUCUAGAUUUGAAGAAAUACCAAAUAAGCGCCCUGUGAACAUAUGUUGGUGACUGGGAGCAGGGGAAUUCGGAAUCGAUUUGGCUUGAUAUUGAAGCCUCGCAAUCGAGAUGUUCUUUAAUUAAUGUAUUAUUUAUGGAUAAGAUGAAAUCUGUGACCCAACCCAAUUAUUUUAAAUACGAUGAGAGUCUGGAGGAUAAUGAGGUAAGACGAGAGCAAUUGGUCUAAGACUUUGCCAUUUACCCUGUUGGUGGGAGCCCAAGGAUUUAAACCUGGAACAAUGGACUCUGACUUUAAUGUAUGGGAGAAUAAGGGAACCUGUCUGGGUGAUUUUUCGAGGGGGAGGUCCUGAUGUCAUUUCGUCAAUUAAGUCAGAAACAUGGAUUGUCUAAGAGGGACCUUUUCCAAUAUUUCCAGAUAAGGGACUAUAUACAGAGGAAGACCACGCUCCUGGUUCAGUGUUAAAAAUCAGACAUGGAGAAAAGAGUACUCUGCUGUAUGGGUGCUCUUUCACUCAGUACUUUAUAUCAUUUACAGAAAGGUCGUGCCCUGGGGGACAUGGAAGGACUCUCGAACGUGGAAUCCAGAGUUAGGAGAGGAUAUUUCAUCGGAGAUUUUCUCAAGAACUUGUACUAGCUAUCUUUGCUGGAAUGCAAAUAUACUUGUGUAAUGGAAUAACAAAGACAUGUUUGGACUUUAAUGGCCACCGUGUUUUGACAAGUACGUGUCAGUUGGACAGGAGAAGAAUCUACAAGUUAUCAAACUGUUAAAGGGGCAAUAUUCCCAUCUGGACUAGUGUGCAGUGGAAAGAAGCAGAGGUGAACAGUGAAGGAAGGCAGCAUUGAUGCUGUGAUCGUCAGCACUUGCUCAGGAAUAACCUGCUCACCGACACUGAGUUUCGGUUCCACCAGGUCCACUCAGCUCCUGACUUCAUUACAGCCUUGAUCCAAAUGUGACAAAAGAGCUGAACUCAAGACCAAAUGUGGCAUGAAGGAGCCCUCGCAAAACUGGGAUCAAUGGAGGUCAAGGGGAAAAUUCUCCUCAGGUUGGAGUCAUACCUAGCACAAAGGAAGACAGUUGUGGUUGUUGGAAGUUAGUCACCUCCC